rnacentral:rRNA from 1 species
UACGAAGGGGGCUAGCGUUGCUCGGAAUCACUGGGCGUAAAGCGCACGUAGGCGGAUUGCUAAGUCAGGGGUGAAAUCCUGGAGCUCAACUCCAGAACUGCCCUUGAUACUGGCGGUCUCGAGUCCGGGAGAGGUGAGUGGAACUGCGAGUGUAGAGGUGAAAUUCGUAGAUAUUCGCAAAGAACACCAGUGGCGAAGGCGGCUCACUGGCCCGGUACUGACGCUGAGGUGCGAAAGCGUGGGGAGCAAACAGG